rnacentral:rRNA from 1 species
UGCAGUCGAACGGAAUCUUUCGGGGUUUAGUGGCGGACGGGUGAGUAACGCGUGAGAAUCUGCCUUCAGGUUCGGGACAACAGCUGGAAACGGCUGCUAAUACCGGAUGUGCCGAGAGGUGAAAGCUUUAGUGCCUGGAGAUGAGCUCGCGUCUGAUUAGCUAGUAGGAGUGGUAACGGCACCCCUAGGCGACGAUCAGUAGCUGGUCUGAGAGGAUGAUCAGCCACACUGGGACUGAGACACGGCCCAGACUCCUACGGGAGGCAGCAGUGGGGAAUUUUCCGCAAUGGGCGCAAGCCUGACGGAGCAAGACCGCGUGAGGGAAGAAGGUCUGUGGAUUGUAAACCUCUUUUGACAGGGAAGAAGACAGUGACGGUACCUGUCGAAUCAGCCUCGGCUAACUCCGUGCCAGCAGCCGCGGUAAUACGGAGGAGGCAAGCGUUAUCCGGAAUUAUUGGGCGUAAAGAGUCCGUAGGUGGGUCACCCAGUCAGCUGUUAAAUAGUGAAGCUUAACUUCAUAGAGGCGGCUGAAACUGGUGGUCUAGAGUGUGGUACGGGUAGAGGGAAUUUCCAGUGUAGCGGUGAAAUGCGUAGAUAUUGGAAAGAACACCGGUGGCGAAAGCGCUCUACUGGGCCUGCACUGACACUGAGGGACGAAAGCUAGGGGAGCGAAAGGGAUUAGAUACCCCUGUAGUCCUAGUCGUAAACGAUGGAUACUAGGCGUUGCCCGUAUCGACCCGGGCAGUGUCGUAGCCAACGCGUUAAGUAUCCGCUGGGGAGUACGCUCCGCAAGA